UGCAGUCGAGCGGAACGAGUUAUCUGAACCUUCGGGGAACGAUAACGGCGUCGAGCGGCGGACGGGUGAGUAAUGCCUAGGAAAUUGCCCUGGUGUGGGGGAUAACCAUUGGAAACGAUGGCUAAUACCGCAUAAUACCUUCGGGUCAAAGAGGGGGACCUUCGGGCCUCUCGCGUCAGGAUAUGCCUAGGUGGGAUUAGCUAGUUGGUGAGGUAAUGGCUCACCAAGGCGACGAUCCCUAGCUGGUCUGAGAGGAUGAUCAGCCACACUGGAACUGAGACACGGUCCAGACUCCUACGGGAGGCAGCAGUGGGGAAUAUUGCACAAUGGGCGCAAGCCUGAUGCAGCCAUGCCGCGUGUGUGAAGAAGGCCUUCGGGUUGUAAAGCACUUUCAGUCGUGAGGAAGGUGGUGUAGUUAAUAGCUGCAUUAUUUGACGUUAGCGACAGAAGAAGCACCGGCUAACUCCGUGCCAGCAGCCGCGGUAAUACGGAGGGUGCGAGCGUUAAUCGGAAUUACUGGGCGUAAAGCGCAUGCAGGUGGUUUGUUAAGUCAGAUGUGAAAGCCCGGGGCUCAACCUCGGAAUAGCAUUUGAAACUGGCAGACUAGAGUACUGUAGAGGGGGGUAGAAUUUCAGGUGUAGCGGUGAAAUGCGUAGAGAUCUGAAGGAAUACCGG
rnacentral:rRNA from 1 species